rnacentral:lncRNA from 1 species
UCUGUGAGAGGAUUGUGAGAUUGUGUCUGAGACGAGUAAAGUAAGUUCCUGAAUUCUGGAGCCGUUUUUUUGCUUCAUUCUACAUUAUUGUUGAGCAUCGCAUCAAAUUGAUUCAACAACACUUUUCCCAGUAGCUCAGUGUGGACUUUUAAGACUUUGAGUCUUGAGCUUGACUCAUUGACGUGGUCAGGUCUCUAUUAUCUAAGCAGUGAUGUACAGGAACUCAGCAGUGAGUUCAGAUGUCUAGUCCUCUAGUGUCUACUUCAUUAUUGUUGAUCAUCGCAUCAAAUUGAUUCAACAACACUUGGCCGACUGCAGCCCAGUAGCUGAGUGUGGACUUUUAAAACUUUUAGUCUUGAGUUUGACUCAUAUAAAUCAGGCAAUGGCGAAACGUUUGCGGUCACCUACUCCUCAAGCAGGUACUUCACGUGACGAUGACUACAUUUUGCUAUCUUCAACUCCCAUGAAAAGGAAUGAGACAUAUACGUCUAAUGCUCGGCAUGGAGAUUCCUGCUACCUUCGACACUGGCUACCUGGGGGGUCGACAUUGGCUACCCCGACACUGGCUACCCGACACUGGCUACCCAUAAGGUCGACACUGGGUACCCCGACACUGGCUACCCGACACCGGCUACCUAUAGAGGGUGACACCGGCUACCUAUAGUUGGCGACACUAGCUACCUCUUUUUUGCUACCCUGUUACAUUUAACAAGCAAGAAUCCCAUGGCCUUUUGUUUCUUGCCUGCAAUUACAUUCCUAUAUCCAACAUGAUGACCAAAUGCAAAUGGCGUGUCAAUUUCCUUUUUUAAAAAUCAGUUUCCCCUUAUUUUUACGAAUGCAGUACCCUUGAUUGAUCAUCAGGAAUGAUCAAAUUGCACAUAGGAAGUAAAAAACUAAUAUUGACUACGAGCAAUCAGUCAAGACAUGCCCACUGUCAAAUAUUUGAAUGCUGGAACUUUGUUUGAAUAUAAGGAAUAAUUUUGCUGAACAUGGGAAGGUAAACAUAUUGACUGCGAGUAAUCAGUUAAGACAUGCCCACUGAAAAUUAUUUGAAUGUAGGACCUUGAUUGAUUAUCAGGAAUAACUGAGUUAAACAUGGGAAGUAAACAUAUUGACUGUGAGCAAUCAGUCAAGACUAAAAAAAAAAUAAUAUUUUAAGCUGUCGAAAAAUGUCCUUACGGCUACGUGCGGACUCAACAUUGUACUUCCGUUAACGGCUGAUCUUACAAUUUUGAUGGAACAAGCCAUCAUGUCCAGCUACAAAUCAAAAGGAUUCCCUGAAGAACGUGACUAGCCAUAGUUUGCACUUAAAUCGUCAAGGGGAUUUCCAUGUCCGCUAAAUUUAUCUAACUUUAAAUUGACUGAAUUUAUUUUAGGUGAAUAAAGCCUGUCGUCGUGCUUGAAUGACGAUGAAAUUAUUUAUGAACGCAUGAACGCUGGAUGAACGCAGUUGAUUGCCUGACGAAGAUGAGUGCGCCGGAUACCUCAAUAUACCCCCUUUUCAUGAACGAAACCGUGAUUUGCGGCCGUAUUGACAGCAUUCCGGCGUUUCACUAGUAGGGGAGACUGGAGUAAGCCGGGACGGUUUUCGUUUCCCCUCUAUAUCUCCCAAACUAAUCAUUAAAUUAAUUUAUUAUUUUGUUUUUAUGUAUUCCAUACGGUAAUG